CGCGAUCGAUCAGAGUUUGAUCCUGGCUCAGGAUGAACGACUGACAGAAUGCUUAACACAUGCAAGUCGACUCGAGUCUUCGGACUUGGGUGGCGCACGGGUGAGUAACGCGUGUGCAACUUGCCUCUUAGUGGGGAAUAACCCGGAGAAAUCCGGACUAAUACCGCAUACACUUAGUUAUCCGCAUGGAUGAUUAAGGAAAGAUUUAUUGCUAAGAGAUAGGCAUGCGUUCCAUUAGUUAGUUGGUGAGGUAACGGCUCACCAAGGCAUCGAUGGAUAGGGGAGCUGAGAGGCUUAUCCCCCACAUUGGGACUGAGACACGGCCCAA
rnacentral:rRNA from 1 species